AUUCUUUUAGUAUUAACUAGUACAGCUGACUUCCAAUCAGCUAG
rnacentral:tRNA from 2 species